ACACACAGCAGAUCCUGUUUGCCUCCACCUAGAGCAGAUGUUUCCACAUCCACACAGAAGAGAGACUGCUUGCUCCUUCAAAGAUGCUUGUCUGUCGAUACCAUCUCUCACUUUGGAUAUUUGUUCUGCUUAUCUGUUAUCUACAACUUUGGGAUACAGCAUCCUCAGACCUCCUCCCGGUCUCCCCCCCAACACCCUCCCUUACCCAGGCCUCCUCUGUAGGCAACACCGUCCUGGGGACUGUGGUCCUGGUUUGUCGGGCCCCUGAGGGCCCUGGAGGGACCCUGUUCAGACUCCACCGGGUUAAAAAGCUGGUGAACACCAUGACUUUCCCCAGUGAGAGACAGGAGGCCCAGUUCACAGUGAGAGUGAGGGAGGAUUCCGCUCGGGAGCUUCUAUACUGCUGCCUGUAUCAGAACAGCCAGGGGAAGUAUAGCCCAUACAGCCACUAUCUGACUCUGAAAAAACAAGGUGUAGCCUCUCCUAGAGCUCCUCCUCCUCCUUCCCCCCUUCUCCUCCCACCCCUCCUCUCAGUUGAUCCCCCAGGUGGUCAGGUGAAGCACGGCCAGACAUUAUCCUUCCACUGCUCCCCCCUCCUCCUCACUCCCAGCAGAGCCCUAAACCAGAGGCCUUCCUACUGCUGAGGACAGCUAAAGCGACUGGGCAAUCCAUGGGGAGCUCCAUGGUCCACCCCCAGGCCUCCCUGGUGUCCCACUCCACAGCCCAGACCGGGGCCUUCCACCUGGGGCCCGUGAGGGGAGGCGAGGGGGGGUCCUACACCUGCCUCUACCAGGUUACAAUGCCUCGUCAGGGACCGGCUAAUUCAACCGCCAGUCAUCCAGUUCUUGUCACGGUCACAGGAAUGGGGUAACGACGACAGCGCAGCAGAGACAGCCUUCAGCAGGUCCCCUCCAUGGAGAACUCUCUCUACGUUUGGCAACACACCAUCCUCCUGACCUCCUUCACAUCUCCCUCGUUCCCUCUAUUCUCACUCGUUCUCUCUCUCUCUCUAUUCCUUUUUCUGUCCAUCUUCUUAUGUCUCUCUCCCUGACCCUUCUCAUCUCUAUACAGUACUUCUCUUCAUGCUCCCUGAUCUCUCGUUCUCUCUGUCACCUUUUCUUUCCCUCUCCAUCCUUCUUCUCUCUCUUUCCCUCUCUAUCCCUCUCUUCUCUCUCUCCCUGAACCCUUUCCCUCUCUAUCCUUCUCUUCUCUCUCUCCCUGAACCCUUUCCCUCUCUAUGCGUCUCUUCUCUUUCCCUGAACCCUUAGCCUCUCUAUCCUUCUCUUCCUCCACCUUUUGGACAUCUAAGCAACAGCCACACGUCUAAUCAUACAUCACAACUCUCUAUCUAUCUAUGGGAAACAUGUUCUCUCUGUUUACAUUUUUGGCUGAAAACCUAGCCGUGAUUACAGGAACAGAGAAGUCCACAUUUCCUCUAACGUGUUUCGUUUCACAAGUUUGCAUUAGGUCACUUUCACUGAAUCUUAUUGAAUUUCAUAAGUUGUUUCAUGUACAUAAAAUCUAUUUUAUAAUAAAAGCUGUGGGGUAAUUCUAAUCUAGCUGCUUCAUAGGUCAUUUGUGUUUGAGUGUGAUGCAUGUAGACUUAUUUUCACUCUUUUCUGAAAGUAAGGCCACAUGUAAAAAUGUGUGAACUUUCCCUUUAAUCAAGAGUAUUCAUUUGCCCAACAAUUGUUUUUACA
rnacentral:lncRNA from 1 species